rnacentral:lncRNA from 1 species
UGGGCUUGACUUCCAUUGGGUUGGGCCUCCAAUUGGGCUUUCUUCCAAUUGGGCUGGAUUCCCAACAAAAGAAGCUGGUGCCUGUUCGCAUGAAAUGAAUACUCCACAAUAUGAAUUGGCUCGAUCCAAUACCUCAUCCAUUGCAUCUCAUCAAAAUCUCUACGAGACAUCAUUCGAUAUGCAACAUUAGAAGCUGGAAUGCAUUAGUUAAUCAAGUUUAACAGGUCUAUGGACUUUGAUGGACGACAUUGCCGUCUCAUGUUGCAUUUCUCUUUGUUGGUUUCAUUUAGGGGUGAGCACGGGUAGAUUUGGAUUUGGCAUAAUUCUGGCAUGCGAUCAGAACUAUUCGGGGUAAAGCUUAAACAAAACUGAUUUUGACCGCUUCACUACAAAAACUGUCUGAAAAUAGCUGUUUCAGAUAUCGGGUGGGUGUAAUGAGCUAGGAACUUCAAUGGUGUCUCUUGGCUGAGGAAGAAAGAGGAAGUCUCAACAGUGACUAAAUACUAAAAAGGAAAAAAGAAAAAAAUAUAUAGAUUAAAGACGAUCUAAGGGUAAGGAAUGAGGGAAAUCACAUAUAGUUGGAAUCAUCGAGAGAAUUGGAGAGGGAGGGACGAAAUCACAAAGAGGGGGAGAGAAACGGGGAGAGAGAUUUGGUUUAGAGAGAGAAUAUUUGGUCAAUUCAAAUUAGUUGGAGUUGGGCAGUUGGGUGCUAAAAGGUGGAUGCCAACUUGUGAAAAGAUGAGAUGUAAUCAGGGUUCCAAUAAUACACUGCCAUAUGAAAUAAUAAAUAUUACUAAUGCUGUAAAUUAUUAGUCGGGUCAAUUUACAUGGGUUGUAUUGAAACUCCAGUUUUGGUUAGAUGUCCACCUGAACUUGACCGUUGCUAAUUUUGAAAUUGACUGCAGUCAUUUGGGUUUGUUUGUAUCAGACGGGUUUGGCUGAAUAAUUAUUGAGAUAUGGCUGGCCAUAAUUCCAACUAUGCCAGAAUUUUCAAAUCAGGAUUUUAAAAGAGAUUGGAGGUUCAAUAUUAACAUCUAGCAUUUUUACUUACGAGGCAUUUCGCGUGGUUGUCUGCUUCUUAACUGCUUAA